GGAAAGGUUAGGGACCGUGAAGGGUUUCGCUCAAGUUCGCGGAUCGCGGUGAGCUUGUUCGGUUCCGUCCGGGAGUGCAUCUGCGUGUGCAGUGCAUGCUCUCAGCUACUGCCCCAGUGCCAUGCCUGUCUGCUCCUGCCAUGAUCAUGGACUAACCCUCAGAAACGGUUCGAGUCUCUCUCAGUUUUCUGCAGUGAACCAUGAACACACCUCACAGCGAUCUUGGAAGUCUCCAAAAGGAGGAUGGGGCCCCCAAUGACAAUCCCUCCAAGACUAAGAUAACACCACUAAGCUGAAAAACACAACCUAAAGAUUGACUGUGGACUACAAACUGCUUAGAACAAUCUCGAGGUGGCUAGCUGAGAUGAUCCAGCCUAACAGACUACUCUAGCCAGGAUCUGAGACAAGCCCUACAGUUUUACAUUAUGUAGAGACUGGACUACAAAUGAUACAGCUACCUCUCCCAGGACUUGUAAAUUAACCCCAAUUUUUCUUUUCAGAAUCUCCUAAAGGUGCUGUCACCCUCAGGCAAUAGGAAGUAAUUUUAAGAAUAUGAUGCCACAUUCCAAGGAGGUGGGGUGGGUGAUUUUGGGUCACUCAAUGAGUUAUUGAUAUUUGUCAUUGUUUAGGGGGACUGGUUACAAGUUGUUAUUGGUGAUGGUCAGGAAAAAAGAUAAACAAAGGUAAUUAGA